rnacentral:rRNA from 1 species
AUACGGAGGGUGCAAGCGUUAAUCGGAAUUACUGGGCGUAAAGCGCGCGUAGGCGGAUAUUUAAGUCUCAUGUGAAAGCCCUGGGCUCAACCUGGGAACUGCAUGGGAUACUGGGUAUCUAGAAUACAGUAGAGGGUAGUGGAAUUUCAGGUGUAGCGGUGAAAUGCGUAGAGAUCUGAAGGAACAUCAGUGGCGAAGGCGACUACCUGGACUGAUAUUGACGCUGAGGUGCGAAAGCGUGGGGAGCAAACAGGAUUAGAAACCCUUGUAGUCC